rnacentral:rRNA from 1 species
CAAUAGCGUAUACUAAAGUUGUUGCAGUUAAAAAGCUCGUAGUCGGAUUUUGGCUGAGAACGAUCGGUCCGCCGUUAGGUGUGCACUGAUUGGUCUCAGCUUCCUGGUGAGGAGGUGUGCUUCACGGCCACUUAGUCACCGUGGUUACUUUGAAAAAAUUAGAGUGUUCAAAGCGGGCUUACGCUUGAAUAUAUUAGCAUGGAAUAACACCAUAGGACUCCUGUCCUAUUUCGUUGGUCUCGGGACGGGAGUAAUGAUUAAGAGGAACAGUUGGGGGCAUUCGUAUUUCAUUGUCAGAGGUGAAAUUCUUGGAUUUAUGAAAGACGAACUUCUGCGAAAGCAUUUGCCAAGGAUGUUUUCAUUGA